rnacentral:tRNA from 3 species
GCGGAAGUAGCUCAGCUGGUAGAGCAUCACCUUGCCAUGGUGGGGGUCGCGGGUUCGAAUCCCGUCUUCCGCU